CCUACGGGAGGCAGCAGUGAGGAAUAUUGGUCAAUGGGCGCGAGCCUGAACCAGCCAAGCCGCGUGAGGGAGGACGGCCCUACGGGUUGUAAACCUCUUUUGUCAGGGAAUAAAGUCAGGCACGUGUCCCUGUUUGUGUGUACUUGAUGAAAAAGCAUCGGCUAACUCCGUGCCAGCAGCCGCGGUAAUACGGAGGAUGCGAGCGUUAUCCGGAUUUAUUGGGUUUAAAGGGUGCGUAGGCGGGUUGUUAAGUCAGCGGUGAAAGUUGGGGGCUCAACCGUCGACUUGCAUUUGAAACUGGCAGUCUUGAGUAGAGGUGAGGUAGGCGGAAUGCGCGGUGUAGCGGUGAAAUGCAUAGAUAUCACGCAGAACUCCGAUUGCGAAGGCAGCUUACC
rnacentral:rRNA from 1 species